UACUGAGGGGGCAAGCGUUGUUCGGAAUUACUGGGCGUAAAGGGCGCGUAGGCGGCCUUCUAAGUCGAACGUGAAAUCCCCGGGCUCAACCCGGGAACUGCGUCCGAUACUGGAAGGCUUGAAUCCGGGAGAGGGAUGCGGAAUUCCAGGUGUAGCGGUGAAAUGCGUAGAUAUCUGGAGGAACACCGGUGGCGAAGGCGGCAUCCUGGACCGGUAUUGACGCUGAGGCGCGAAAGCCAGGGGAGCAAACGGG
rnacentral:rRNA from 1 species